GUUUCUGUUGUAUAGUGGUUAUCACAUUCGUAUAACAUGCCAAAGGUCACAGUUUCGAGCCCUGGCAGAAACA